GGGAGUCUCUGGGUGCUGUUUCUGUUGUUACAGAGUAUUGCUUUGAGUCUCUCUCUGAGUAGUUGUUACAAAUAAUUGCUUUGAGAACUGACUCUGUCUUAGAAUGUACUAACACAAUUAGCAGCUUGCAAGUUUCACACAGAGAGGGAGAGAAACAGUA